rnacentral:rRNA from 1 species
UACCCGUUGAUCCUGCGGGAGGUUGCCACUAGUAGGAUUCGGCUAAGCCAUGCAAGUUGGAGGCAGCAAUGCCUCGGCAUAAUGCUCAGUAACACGUCAAUAAUCUGCCCUUAAGCUCAGGAUAACCUUGGGAAACUGAGGAUAAUACUGGAUAUGGGAACCAUACUGGAAUGUAGGUUCCUUCAAACGCAAGGCUUAAGGAUGAGUUGGCGGCUGAUUAGGUAGUUGGUGAGGUAAAGGCUCACCAAGCCUAGGAUCAGUAGGGGCCUUGAGAGAGGUUGCCCCGAGAAGGGCACUGAGAUACUGGCCCUAGCCCCACGGGGUGCAGCAGGCGCGAGAACUUUACAAUGCGCGAAAGCGUGAUAAGGGAAUCCUACGUGCCAACGCAAUGCGUUGGCUUUUUUCAAGAGUAAAAAUCUUGGAGAAUAAGUGAUGGGCAAGACUGGUGCCAGCCGCCGCGGUAACACCAGCGUCGCGAGUGGUGACCGGAUUAUUGGGCCUAAAGCGUUCGUAGCAGGCUUUGUAAAUCUUUUGUGAAAUUGUUGGGCUUAACCUAACAACGUGCAAGAGACACUGCAAGGCUAGGAACCGGGAGAGGUAAGGAGUAUGCUGGGGGGAGCGGUAAAAUGUGAUAAUCCUCGGUGGACUACCAGUGGCGAAGGCGCCUUACCAGAACGGAUUCGACUGUGAGGAACGAAAGCUAGGGGAGCAAACCGGAUUAGAUACCCGAGUAGUCCUAGCUGUAAACUCUGUGAGCUAGGUGUUGCAUAUUCUUUUAGGAAUAUGCAGUGUCGAAGUGAAGAUGUUAAGCUCACCGCCUGGGAAGUACGGUCGCAAGACUGAAACUUAAAGGAAUUGGCGGGGGAGCACCACAAGGGGUGCGGCGUGCGGUUUAAUCCAAUUCAACGCGGAAAAUCUUACCAGGGGCGACGGCAGGAUGAAAGUCAGGUCAAAGACUUUACUUGACGAGCCGAGAGGUAGUGCAUGGCCGUCGACAGCUCGUGCCGUAAGGUGUCCUGUUAAGUCAGGCAACGAGCGAGACCUAUGUUUACAAUUGCUAACAGGUUCUUUGGAAUGACUGAGCACAUUGUAGAGACUGCCUGUGAAAACAGGAGGAAGGUAUAGGCCACGAUAGGUCUGUAUGCUCCGAAUCUUCUGGGCUACACGCGCGCAACAAUGGUAGUGACAAUGGGAUGCAACGCUGAAAAGUGAAGCUAAUCCUCUAAACACUAUCCAAGUCCAGAUUGAGGGUUGUAACUCACCCUCAUGACGUUGGAAUCCCUAGUAAUCGGAUUUCAUUACAGUCCGGUGAAUAUGUCCCUGCUCCUUGCACACACCGCCCGUCAAGCCACCCGAGUAGGGUUUAGAUGAGAAUUAGUUUUUAACUAGGUCGAAUCUAAGCUCAGCGAGGAGGGCUAAGUCGUCACAAGGUAUCCGUAGGGGAACCUGCGGAUGGAUCACCUCC